GUUUAUAAAGCACUAGCCCAUUCUUUUCAGUGCGUUCAUCUAAAGUGGACUUCCUCAAAUGUUCAUCCACGCAUGCAUGCCUUCUUAGUUGCAUCCAAUAUCACUACAUGGUCAUGUCUGACCUAUUUUCCGGAAUGCAUUUCAAUGGCAUCUUUGUUAUUCCAUAUGUUUUAUAAGUCCUUUAUAGAUUUGGGCAAAAACUGUUAGAAAA